UACGUAGGGUGCAAGCGUUAAUCGGAAUUACUGGGCGUAAAGCGUGCGCAGGCGGUUGUGCAAGACCGAUGUGAAAUCCCCGGGCUCAACCUGGGAAUUGCAUUUGUGACUGCACGGCUAGAGUGUGUCAGAGGGGGGGUAGAAUUCCACGUGUAGCAGUGAAAUGCGUAGAGAUGUGGAGGAAUACCGAUGGCGAAGGCAGCCCCCUGGGAUAACGACUGACGCUCAUGCACGGAAAGCGUGGGGAGCAAACAGG
rnacentral:rRNA from 1 species